rnacentral:rRNA from 1 species
GUAGGGAAUCUUCCACAAUGGGCGCAAGCCUGAUGGAGCAACACCGCGUGAGUGAAGAAGGGUUUCGGCUCGUAAAGCUCUGUUGUUAAAGAAGAACACGUAUGAGAGUAACUGUUCAUACGUUGACGGUAUUUAACCAGAAAGUCACGGCUAACUACGUGCCAGCAGCCGCGGUAAUACGUAGGUGGCAAGCGUUAUCCGGAUUUAUUGGGCGUAAAGAGAGUGCAGGCGGUUUUCUAAGUCUGAUGUGAAAGCCUUCGGCUUAACCGGAGAAGUGCAUCGGAAACUGGAUAAGUUGAGUGCAGAAGAGGGUAGUGGAACUCCAUGUGUAGCGGUGGAAUGCGUAGAUAUAUGGAAGAACACCAGUGGCGAAGGCGGCUACCUGGUCUGCAACUGACGCUGAGACUCGAAAGCAUGGGUAGCGAACAGGAUUAGAAACCCUGGUAGUCC